rnacentral:lncRNA from 1 species
UCGUUGUGAUCUGUGAUGCUAUAUAAACGGAUAGCGUCGAUGUCAUCAGAGCUGAUAUUGAAUAAAACACAGUAAAUAUUUUUAAAGUCGCACAACAUUGUAAACAAUUCGGUUAAAGGUACCAAUGCCACACUGUAUCCUUAGAUCUGUACUCAUGACUGCAUCGAAGCUAUAUUACUUAUGGUGUGGAAUAUUGAUCCU